CUUGCAGAUGGUGAGGAUCUGGUGGCCGGGCGCCUUGACCCCCUCGCGCGCGAGCUUGGCCUCCUCCGCCAGGUUGACGAUGGUGGUGACGGCCGUGUCGCCCCUGCUCUUGCCCACCACGUCCUUCGAUGCCAUAUCCCCCCGCCCGCGCUGCCCAGGAGGAGGGUGGCGGAGGACGCCGAGUCGGGCUGGGGUUGUGGAGCAAGGUCAAGGACUACGGCGGCGAUGUGCCGUCGCGGCCGCGUCUGUAACUGCCUGCUUGCUAAUUUGGUCGUUUCUUUCUGUGACUUGCCAGCCAUUUGGUCGUUAUCAACAAUCUGAAAGAUGGGCUGCAGAAUGGGCCGCACCAUCCUUGGGCCGCAUACACCGCUCGGAUAUAGGGACUGCUAUGGUGUUAUUUGAUUAGUGCCAUAUCGGCCACCCAAAGCGUCG
rnacentral:misc_RNA from 1 species